UCAAAUAUCCAAAAUAUUUAGGCCAAAACAGGAGGAAAUCCAACGAACGUGAUAGGUGUGCGCGUGGAGAACACAAAUGGAGGAAAAGAAGAGCCUCCCGGUGUGUUUAGGCCGAGGACGGUGAAUUCGGCUGCGUACACA
ensembl:ncRNA R03G5.8 ncRNA